rnacentral:rRNA from 4 species
AAACUUUCAACAACGGAUCUCUUGGCUCUGGCAUCGAUGAAGAACGCAGCGAAAUGCGAUAAGUAAUGUGAAUUGCAGAAUUUAGUGAAUCAUCGAAUCUUUGAACGCACAUUGCGCCCCUUGGUAUUCCGAGGGGCAUGCCUGUUCGAGCGU